GAUGAAGAACGUAGCAAAAUGCGAUAAGUAAUGUGAAUUGCAGAAUUCAGUGAAUCAUCGAAUCUUUGAACGCACAUUGCGCCCGCCAGUAUUCUGGCGGGCAUGCCUGUCCGAGCGUCAUUUCAACCCUCAAGCCCCCGGGCUUGGUGUUGGAGAUCGGCGAGCCCCCCGGGGCGCGCCGUCUCCCAAAUAUAGUGGCGGUCCCGCUGUAGCUUCCUCUGCGUAGUAGCACACCUCGCACUGGGAAACAGCGUGGCCACGCCGUAAAACCCCCCACUUCUGAAAGGUUGACCUCGGAUCAGGUAGGAAUACCCGCUGAACUUAAGCAUAUCAAUAAGCGGAGGA
rnacentral:misc_RNA from 1 species